GGCCCAAAUUUGAAGUAGAGUAGAAUUGAAGGAUCAUCUGACCCUACUAAACUAUUCUACUUCGAAAUUGUGCCC
rfam:Haemonchus placei strain MHpl1 genome assembly, scaffold: HPLM_scaffold0005850